UACAGGGGGUGCAAACGUUGCUCGGAAUCAUUGGGCGUAAAGCGCACGUAGGCGGUCUGUUAUGUCGGAUGUGAAAGCCCUUGGCUCAACUGAGGAAGUGCAUCCGAAACUGGCAGGCUAGAGUACUAAAGAGGAUCGCGGAAUUCCUGGUGUAGCGGUGAAAUGCGCAGAUAUCAGGAGGAACACCGGUGGCGAAGGCGGUUCUCUGGGCCUUACCUGACGCUGAGGAGCGAAAGCGUGGGGAGCGAACAGG
rnacentral:rRNA from 1 species